rnacentral:rRNA from 1 species
UACGGAGGGAGCUAGCGUUAUUCGGAAUUACUGGGCGUAAAGCGCACGUAGGCGGCUUUGUAAGUAAGAGGUGAAAGCCCGGAGCUCAACUCCGGAACUGCCUUUUAGACUGCAUCGCUUGAAUCCAGGAGAGGUGAGUGGAAUUCCGAGUGUAGAGGUGAAAUUCGUAGAUAUCGUAAGGAAGGCCAGUGGCGAAAGCGAGACUCUGGCUAGAUGCUGACGCUGAGGCACGAAAGCUGGGGGAGCAAACGGG